rnacentral:rRNA from 1 species
GAUAAGCUCAUGUCUGAUUAGCUAGUUGGUGAGUUAAUAGCUUACCAAGGUAUUGAUCAGUAGCUGGUUUGAGAGAAUGGUCAGCCACACUGGGACUGAGACACGGCCCAGACUCCCUUGGGAGGCAGCAGUGAGGAAUUUUCCGCAAUGGGCAAAGGCCUGACGGAGCGAUACCGCGUGAGGGAAGAAGGAUUAUGGUUUGUAAACCUCUUUUUUCAAGAAAGAAACCAUGACGGUACUUGAGGAAUCAGCAUCGGCUAACUCCGUGCCAGCAGCCGCGGUAAUACGGAGGAUCCAAGCGUUGUCCGGAUUUAUUGGGUUUAAAGGGUGCGUAGGCGGACUAUUAAGUCAGAGGUGAAAGUU